GCCCGGCUAGCUCAAUCGGUAGAGCGUGAGACUCUUAAGAAGCAUCUCCGAAAUCUCAAGGUUGUGGGUUCGACCCCCACGUCGGGCU
rnacentral:tRNA from 1 species